UGCUUAUAAUCACACAAACAAUCAAGAGCUCCGAGUGUUAAGAUGCAUGUGGUCACCAGAUGAAGUUAGAAGAUAUGUUUCACAUAGAGCGACUGUGAGGAAUACUCGGUUUCAUUGAGAAGUUGGAAUUUGACUGAUAAAGCUAAAAAGUGCAUCAUGGAGAAAGACAAUGUUUAUCUCCUACUCAAUGAUGAAGAAAAUCCAACAAAAAACAGAAGAGCUUACGUUUUCAAUCGCGGCACAUCUGCGCUGUUACAGCAAGACAUGUUCUACGUUUCAAUACUUUUCCUUAGUUUUGUAGUGAUUAUUGUUUUUAUAACAGUUAUUCUUUUAAUACAGUAUUAUUACCUUAGUUGACAAAGAUAAUGGUCAAUUUUG